rnacentral:misc_RNA from 1 species
UCUGUACUCAUAUCUGUAAAAUGGAGUGCGUAAACCAUAUAAGCAUGGACUGAAAAGAAGAUGACAUGUUAUCUGUUAAGAAUCCAUUUCCAUUUAAACGAGUGAAGCAUUUUCAACAUACAUGCUUCCAGAUUUGGAAGAACAAUUAAGAGUGCAAUGAAAUUUUACUCCAGGAAAUUGUAGAUAGGUCCAUUCACAUAUAAAUUUCCUACAUGCUAACAUUGUGAAACCAUGAAGAACAUAUGAUGGCAAGAUAUGAAACCAUUACCACUAGUUAUUAAUAUCAGCAGUGUAACCCCCCAGCCAAAAAGGGAAAAACACAUACAUAUGCAUAUGUAGUUUCAAUUUAAGA